UUCACUUGUUGGUGAGGUAAUGGCUCACCAAGGCGUCGACGGGUAGCCGGCCUGAGAGGGUGACCGGCCACACUGGGACUGAGACACGGCCCAGACUCCUACGGGAGGCAGCAGUGGGGAAUAUUGCACAAUGGGCGGAAGCCUGAUGCAGCAACGCCGCGUGAGGGAUGACGGCCUUCGGGUUGUAAACCUCUUUUAGUAGGGAAGAAGCGAGAGUGACGGUACCUGCAGAAAAAGCACCGGCUAACUACGUGCCAGCAGCCGCGGUAAUACGUAGGGUGCAAGCGUUAUCCGGAAUUAUUGGGCGUAAAGAGCUCGUAGGCGGUUUGUCGCGUCUGCUGUGAAAUCCCGAGGCUCAACCUCGGGCCUGCAGUGGGUACGGGCAGACUAGAGUGCGGUAGGGGAGAUUGGAAUUCCUGGUGUAGCGGUGGAAUGCGCAGAUAUCAGGAGGAACACCGAUGGCGAAGGCAGAUCUCUGGGCCGUUACUGACGCUGAGGAGCGAAAGGGUGGGGAGCAAACAGGCUUAGAUACCCUGGUAGUCCACCCCGUAAACGUUGGGAACUAGUUGUGGGGUCCAUUCCACGGAU
rnacentral:rRNA from 1 species